CUAUCACAGCUGGUCGCAAACAUGACACACGUCGUUCGUUACUUUCCUAAGUUACUUCAAAUUUCAAAACAAAUUAAAAAUUUAAACGGAGAUGGGAUAAUAAGUUAACUGUUUUUAGAUAAUUACAGGUCUGGCCAACUAGUUGCUCGUGACAAUAGAAAUAAAAUGUUCUAAUCCAACAACGCUACCUAUGUCUUCUGAAGCUAAAUAAGUUCUGUUGCAAGAUUUUGUAAAUCUUCAAGAUAUUGUUGCCUUCGCCAGAUCCAAUUCUUUGCUGCUAUCUAUUUUGCAGACAACAUCAAGAAAUUUCUGCCACUCAUGAUUUGAUCACCAAAUAGUUCAAAUUUAGGACAAUGUGAGAUUUGUUAAUCCCCCUCCACUGUGAUAGUUGCUUUGAAACUGAAGAGAGAUUGCUGGAAUUGAAGACUGAUUGCAAUUUGUGUAAAUUUUGAUAAAUUACAAGUGCAUGUCUGGGCUCCCUUCAUUUCUGUGGCCCCGUUUCCCUAACUAACUAACUAACGCCCGCCGGUGGUCAUUCACCCGCUGUGAUAACCAGGAAGAGGAAAUUCGUAGGAAAUUAAUGGUAAUUUUCUAAAAAAUUUUAAGUGUGAUACAAUUAUGUUUGCUAAAUGAUGGAUUUUGUAAUAGCUUAGGAUUGUGUAAGUAUUUUAUUUAUUUAAUUACGUUUUGAAAAGGCAUUUUGUGGGCCCCAUUUAUUUGUUAACUUAUUCAAUUGCGCGGAUAUUUUCGUUAUCGAAUAAAUUUAUUAUUGCGGCAAAUUUUAUUAUAUCAUCAAAAUGCUCUAAUGGUU